GUUGGAGCCCUGGAGCUGCGGCGAGCCGAGGUUUCGAGGGGCUCGUGGAGCCGAAAGGUGGCAUGGUGAGAAUGGUGAGGCUAGGAUGUAGAACUUGAUAGCCUCGCGCACCGGCUAGGACUGAACGGAGGCUACACUGGGGACCUUCAGGGCUGUCGAGCCAGAAAUGCCAUCGCGAGUCGGAGUGAACCGCAACCCGCUGGGGUUGCACAAGGCCUCGCCACCCCGGGACACAGGGAGUCGCUUUACUGAGCGUGGAGAAACCCUUAGACUUCCUGGGGAGACUCUCUGGGCAAAAUGUGUCUUUGUUGUGGUGUGGGGACUCGGGACGACGGGCCUCGCGCCUGUAAGACGAAAAGCUCGCGUGCACCCUGUUCUGAAGUUCACUAUAGAAAGAUGCCAAAAGACCUACUGAGGGUCUCUGAAAAGUUAAAAAUGCUGAUAUGCGUAAUUUGAGUGUUUUAUUUUUCCCCUCCUGAGCUUUUCGAAGGAGAUGGCUAGCUCGGUGGUGAGGAUUCCCACAGCACAGUCAAGACCCUGGAUUGUAUCCCUAGCACUGGUCUGUUUGCAUCAGUGAAAAUAUAUACGGUGCCUCUGUUAGAAAUUAAUAAAGUUCCAGUAGGUCUUCCUUUCAAAAAGCUAGGCAGGCUGCUUUUUAAAUUUCCAAAACACAACAGGAACCUUCAAAGAUAUAUGGAGAUGAUGGUACUUAAAAAGGACGUUUUUUCAAAGAUUGGCUUGUGGUGUGAGAAGCAGCCACAGAAGUGGCAGAUGCCAUUCUUGUGGAUUCAGCAACGUGAAGCCUCAGAAAUACUACGCUCUUCUGCUUGUAAUGUUGCUUUAUUGAAAUGAAAUUCACAUAUGCCCUUCACCUACAUAAAGGGUGCAGUCCAAUGGGUUUUAGUUUGCUCAGAGUUUGGGCAAUCAACACAAUUAUACAAAAAACAAACAAACAACAACAAAAAAAUGCAAAA
rnacentral:lncRNA from 1 species